rnacentral:lncRNA from 1 species
CCCCUCUCUCCUCGUAAACUCCUCUCCAACAGAGAAAGGAAGCCCUUGUUCAUGAGAUAACGGCUCCCCUCUCUCCAGUCAGGAACUGAAGCAGAGGUUUCAUCAGCCUGGGAGAAAAACAGCCCCUUUGGUUCUCAGUGUGGCCAUCUCUCUUGGUGGGCAUGUAACUGGCCGCCAGGGUCCCGCAGAGCCUCCCGGAGUUGCUCUCCACGCCCCACACCUGCAGGAUGUGAGCUGUGGUCCCUAGCAUGGUGACUUGGUCCCAUGGAGUUGAAAGCAUUUCUUGUCAGAUCCGGCCCAAUCUCAAAGUUGGAGGCAACAGCGUGAAAGGUGCGUGACUAUGCUUGGUUCCU